rnacentral:rRNA from 1 species
GACGAACGCUAGCGGCAGGCCUAAUACAUGCAAGUCGAACGGUAAGGCUCCUUCGGGAGUACACGAGUGGCGCACGGGUGCGUAACACGUAUGCAACCUACCCUUCAGAGGGGGAUAGUCGCGGGAAACUGCGAAUAAUACCCCAUAUGCUCACGGAAUGGCAUCUUUUUGUGAGGAAAGCCCCGGCGCUGAGGGAUGGGCAUGCGCCCCAUAGUUAGUUGGUGAGGUAACGGCUCACCAAGACUCCGAUGGGUAACUGGUCUGAGAGGAUGAUCAGUCACACGGGCACUGAGACACGGGCCCGACUCCUGCGGGAGGCAGCAGUAAGGAAUAUUGGACAAUGGGCGCAAGCCUGAUCCAGCCAUGCCGCGUGGUGGAUGACGGCCUCUGGGUUGUAAACACCUUUUAUGUUGAGGAUAAUGUGGUUCUAUACGAACCAUUGCAGGUACCACAUGAAUAAGCACCGGCUAACUACGUG